GACGAACCGAGCGAACGUUGUUCGGAAUCACUGGGCUUAAAGGGCGCGUAGGCGGGUGCUCAAGUCUGUGGUGAAAUCCUCCGGCUCAACCGGAGAACUGCCAUGGAUACUGGGUGUCUUGAGGGUGGUAGGGGUAUGCGGAACUAUCGGUGGAGCGGUGAAAUACGUUGAUAUCGAUAGGAACUCCGGUGGCGAAGGCGGCAUACUGGACCACAUCUGACGCUGAGGCGCGAAAGCCAGGGGAGCGAACGGG
rnacentral:rRNA from 1 species